rnacentral:ncRNA from 2 species
AGCCAUAGCUAGGGGUGUCUGUCGCAAGAAAUCAGACUGAGAUAGUCCCUUAGAACCUGAGACUGGGUAAUACCAGCGUAGGGAAGCUGUUUAUUAAGGAC